GAUGAACGCUGGCGGCGUGCCUAAUACAUGCAAGUCGAGCGAACAGACGAGGAGCUUGCUCCUCUGACGUUAGCGGCGGACGGGUGAGUAACACGUGGAUAACCUACCUAUAAGACUGGUAUAACUUCGGGAAACCGGAGCUAAUCCCGGAUAAUAUAUUGAACCGCAUGGUUCAAUAGUGAAAGACGGUUUUGCUGUCACUUAUAGAUGGAUCCGCGCGGCAUUAGCUAGUUGGUAAGGUAACGGCUUACUAAGGCAACGAGGCGUAGCCGACGUGAGAGGGUGAUCGGCCACACUGGAAGUGGGACACGGUCCAGGCUCCUACGGGAGGCAGCAGUAGGGAAUCUUCCGCAAUGGGCGAAAGCCUGGCGGAGCAACGCGGCGUGAGUGAUAAAGGUCUUCGGAUCGUAAAACUCUGUUAUUGGGGAAGAACAAAUGUGUAAGUAACUAUGCACGUCUUGACGGUACCUAAUCAGAAAGCCACGGCUAACUACGUG
rnacentral:rRNA from 1 species